rnacentral:rRNA from 1 species
AGUUCGAUUCUCGGCUCAGAUUGAACGCUGGCGGGAUGCUUUACACAUGCAAGUCGAACGGCAGCACGGACUUCGGUCUGGUGGCGAGUGGCGAACGGGUGAGUAAUGUAUCGGAACGUGCCUAGUAGCGGGGAUAACUACGCGAAAGGUAGCUAAUACCGCAUGCGCCCUUCGGGGGAAAGCGGGGACCUUCGGGCCUCGCACUAUUGAGUUGGGCGAUAUCGGAUUAGCUAGUUGGUGGGGUAACGGCUCACUGUGACGAUCCGUAGCUGGUUUGAGAGGACGACCACUACACUGGGACUGAGACACGCCCAGACUCUACGGAGGCAGCAGUGGGGAAUUUUGGACAAUGGGGAAAUUCCUGAUCCAGCCAUCCCGCGUGUGCGAUGAAGGCCUUCGGGUUGUAAAGCACUUUUGCCUGGAAACGGCACGGGAUAAUACCCCGUGCAACUGACGGUACCUGCAGAAUGGGCACCACACCAUGCCAGCAGCCGCGGUAAUACGUAGGGUGCAAGCGUUAAUCGGAAUUACUGGGCGAAGGUGCGCAGGCGGUUCGGAAAGAAAGAUGUGAAAUCCAGAGCUUAACUUUGAACUGCAUUUUAAUUACUGAGCUUAGAGUGUAACAGAGGAGGUGGAAUUCCGGCGUGUAGCAGUGAAAUGCGUAGAUAUGCGGAGGAACACCGAUGGCGAAGGCAGCCUCCUGGGAUAAACACUGACGCUCAUGCACGAAAGCGUGGGGAGCAAACAGGAUUAGAUACCCUGGUAGUCCACGCCCAAACGAUGUCAACUAGCUGUUACCUUCGGGCCUGGUAGCGCAGCUAACGCGUGAAGUUGACCACGGUCGCAAGAUUAAAAACUCAAAGGAAUUGACGGGGACCCGCACAAGCGGUGGAUGAUGUGGAUUAACGAUGCAACGCGAAAACCUUACCUACCCUUGACAUGUCUGGAAUCCCGAAGAGAUUUGGGAGUGCUCGCAAGAGAACCGGAACACAGGUGCUGCAUGGCUGUCGUCAGCUCGUGUCGUGAGAUGUUGGGUUAAGUCCCGCAACGAGCGCAACCCUUGUCAUUAGUUGCUACGAAAGGGCACUCUAAUGAGACUGCCGGUGACAAACCGGAGGAAGGGAUGACGUCAAGUCCCUUGCCCUUAGCGGUAGGGCUUCACACGUCAUACAAUGGUCGGGACAGAGGGUCGCCAACCCGCGAGGGGGAGCCAAUCCCAGAAACCCGAUCGUAGUCCGGAUCGCAGUCUGUACCCACUGCGUGAAGUCGGAAUCGCUAGUAAUCGCGGAUCAGCAUGUCGCGGUGAAUACGUUCCUGGCUACACACCGCCUGUCACACCCUUACGGGGAGUGGGUUUAACAGAAGUAGUUAGCCUAACCGUAAGGAGGGCGAUUACCACGGUAGGAUUCAUGACUGGGUGAAGUCGAAGGUAACCCUGUUGAUG